CGUACUUGAGCCGAAUCCGUAGCUUACCUGGGGCAAGGGAACAUAUUGGCUUUACAUUUUUGAUCUUUUGUUAAUCUUGAUGUCCUAGAAGUCUCUUUACCAAGGAUAAAGGUGCAUCCGGAGUCUCAACUAAAGCAGGCAACACUGGUUUGAAGUAAAGGAGAUAUCACAAGGAAUGCAACAACUUCAUGAAUGUAAGAACUGGCCUGCAAACCUCAGGCUAAAUUGGGAACUCGCAGAUCUAUUGAAGGCAGCCACGAAACAAAGAAACACCAUGGAAGCCGUUCAAGAAAACAUCAAACACCCAACAUGUGGAAAUAGAACAAAUUGCGCAAAUGGCAAAAAGCAAGCAGAUUACACAAAGGAUAUCAAAUGUCAAACCAGGAAUCCAGUUAUAUUCAGAUUAAUUCAGUUACGUGUCGCGCUGCUAGCUCACUACAAGCUGCAGGGCAAAGCAUUCGUUGCUGAAGCAUCCAGACUUCAUUGAUUGCUCUGAUCGAACUGCUCAAAAACAGCAAUUUGAAAAAAGAGUAACCAGAAUCCAGGAACACAUGCAACACGAAUUCCAAAGUCACUCAAAACAAGCGCACAGCCUCUUUGAUUAAUCCUUGCAAUGUGGAUCCCAAGACUCCUGCACUUUCCUCCGACAGCAGCUAAUGAGAGGGAGAAGAAGGCUGGUUAAACGCAGAAGGUUCUGUCAAACACAGGCAGAGCACCUGCCCAUCCUCUGCUCUCAUCCUCAUUGACUUCACCCUUGCUUGAUGCCUCAGUUGGAGAGAAGCAAUGGAGUCAGUCAUGGGCUCCAGGUCUUAUACUCCGCUCCAAACCUUGCCGAACUCCUUUGGAGAUAGCAAAGCUCA